UAGAUACCCUGGUAGUCCACGCCCUAAACGAUGUCGACUAGGUGUUGGGGAAGCGAUUCCUUGGUACCGUAGCUAACGCGUGAAGUCGACCGCCUGGGGAGUACGGCCGCAAGGUUAAAACUCAAAGGAAUUGACGGGGACCCGCACAAGCGGUGGAUGAUGUGGAUUAAUUCGAUGCAACGCGAACAACCUUACCUACCUUGACAUGUCUGGAAGGCCGCUGAGAGGUGGUUGUGCCCGAAAGGGAACC
rnacentral:rRNA from 1 species